GUCUGCCUGCCCUGUGAUUUAAUUUAACGGCUGCGGUAUCUUAACCGUGCAAAGGUAGCAUAAUAAAUUGUUCUCUAAAUAAGGACUAGUAUGAAUGGCUCCACGAAGGCUCAACUGUCUCCCCCAUCUAAUUAAUGAAACUGAUCUCCCCGUGAAAAAGCGAGAAUAUAUAUAUAAGACGAGAAGACCCCAUGGAGCUUCAAACUCACCACCAACUACUAAAAAAACCAAAGGAAAAAGUAAUAAAUGUUAUGUGUAGUUUUUGAUUGGGGCAAUCCUGGAGUAAAACAAAUCCUCCAGAAUGAACGGAGUAAUAUCCUUAUACAAGAAUCACAACUCAAAUAAUCAAAAAAAUUGACAUUAAUGAUCCAAAUUUUUGAUCAAUGAAAUAAGUUACCCUGGGGAUAACAGCGCAAUCCAUUUCAAGAGUCCAUAUCGACAAAUGGGUUUACGACCUCGAUGUUGGAUCGGGGUACCCCGGUGGCGCAGCCGCUACCAAAGGUUCGUUUGUUCAACGAUUAACAACCCCACGUGAUCU
rnacentral:rRNA from 1 species